GCAGGAGAAUUGCCUGAACCCAGGAGGCGGAGGCAUGAAAAGUGCUUGAACCGAGCAGGCAGAAGUGGCAUUGAGCCAAGAUUGCACCACUGCACUCCAGCCUGAGCAAGGCAAGACUCUAUC